AAAGGGAGACCUAAUUCAGGUAGGAGACGAAAAAAAAGUAGUCCCUACCAGGAAUCAAUCCCAAAAGGUCGGAGCGAGGCGAAAUUGGCUUUCAAACUAGGUUCUGGGUUCAAACAAGACCUGAAUCAGGAACAAGGGCUAUUAGCUCAGGUGGUUAGAGCGCACCCCUGAUAAGGGUGAGGUCCCUGGUUCGAGUCCAGGAUGGCCCACCUGCACAGGUGGCAAAAACAAGAGAAGCGAGGAAUCAGCACCUUAUCUUACUUAUAUAGUAAGAGAGAAUGCUGGCUCUGAGUAAAGAGUCCAGAGGAACCUUGAAAACUGCAUAGAGCUAGGUGAAAAAGCCAAAAAAGAAGACCGCAAG
rnacentral:tRNA from 1 species